rnacentral:rRNA from 1 species
GUUAUAGGGUCAAGCGAACAAGUGCAUGUGGUGGAUGCCUUGGCGAUCACAGGCGAUGAAGGACGCGGUAGCCUGCGAAAAGCUUCGGGGAGCUGGCAAACGAGCUUUGAUCCGGAGAUGUCCGAAUGGGGAAACCCGGCCCGAAUGGGUCAUCCCACACUGAAUCCAUAGGUGUGGGAAGCGAACGCGGCGAACUGAAACAUCUAAGUAGCUGCAGGAACAGAAAUCAACCGAGAUUCCCAAAGUAGUGGCGAACGAAAUGGGAAGAGCCUUGUACUCUUUAGCAGCAUUGUUAGCAGAACGGGAUGGAAAGCCCGGCCCUAGCAGGUGAUAGCCCUGUAUGCGAAAACAGCGUUGUGGAACUAGGUGUACGACAAGUAGGGCGGGACACGUGAAAUCCUGUCUGAAGAUGGGGGGACCAUCCUCCAAGGCUAAAUACUCGUGAUCGACCGAUAGUGAACCAGUACCGUGAGGGAAAGGCGAAAAGAACCCCGGGAGGGGAGUGAAAUAGAUCCUGAAACCGCAUGCAUACAAACAGUCGGAGCCUCGUAAGGGGUGACGGCGUACCUUUUGUAUAAUGGGUCAGCGACUUACAUUCAGUGGCAAGCUUAACCGAUUAGGGCAGGCGUAGCGAAAGCGAGUCCGAACAGGGCGUUGAGUCGCUGGGUGUAGACCCGAAACCAGAUGAUCUAUCCAUGGCCAGGUUGAAGGUGCGGUAACACGUACUGGAGGACCGAACCCACUAACGUUGAAAAGUUAGGGGAUGAGCUGUGGAUAGGGGUGAAAGGCUAAACAAAUCUGGAAAUAGCUGGUUCUCUCCGAAAACUAUUUAGGUAGUGCCUCGUGUCUCACCUUCGGGGGUAGAGCACUGUCAUGGUUGGGGGGUCUAUUGCUGAUUACCCCGCCAUAGCAAACUCCGAAUACCGAAGAGUGCAAUCACGGGAGACAGACAUCGGGUGCUAACGUCCGGUGUCAAGAGGGAAACAACCCAGACCGCCAGCUAAGGUCCCCAAAUAUAGCUAAGUGGGAAACGAAGUGGGAAGGCUAAAACAGUCAGGAGGUUGGCUUAGAAGCAGCCACCCUUUAAAGAAAGCGUAAUAGCUCACUGAUCGAGUCGUCCUGCGCGGAAGAUGUAACGGGGCUAAGCUAUAUACCGAAGCUGCGGACGCGUGCGUUCCUUUAAGUGCACCAAGCUUGUCGAUGCGCAGCAUCGACAAAGCCACCAACAAUGAUCGUUGUGGUGUGCAUGCUAGUGGAUUUAAAGGAGCGCACGCGUGGUAGGAGAGCGUUCUGUAAGCCUGUGAAGGUGUCUUGUAAAGGAUGCUGGAGGUAUCAGAAGUGCGAAUGCUGACAUGAGUAGCGAUAAAGGGGGUGAAAGGCCCCCUCGCCGUAAGCCCAAGGUUUCCUACGCAACGUUCAUCGGCGUAGGGUGAGUCGGCCCCUAAGGCGAGGCAGAGAUGCGUAGCUGAUGGGAAGCAGGUUAAUAUUCCUGCACCGUCGUAUGAUGCGAUGGGGGGACGGAUCGCGGAAGGUUGUCCGGGUGUUGGAAGUCCCGGUCCCUGCAUUGGAGAAGGCGCUUAGGCAAAUCCGGGCGCGGAAUUCAAGGAUGUGGGGCGAGCGGCCUAGAGCUGCGAAGCAAUUGGAAGUGGUUCCAAGAAAAGCCUCUAAGCUUCAGUCAUACGAGACCGUACCGCAAACCGACACAGGUGGGCGAGAUGAGUAUUCUAAGGCGCUUGAGAGAACUCGGGAGAAGGAACUCGGCAAAUUGGUACCGUAACUUCGGGAUAAGGUACGCCCUGGUAGCUUGACUGGCCUGCGCCAGAAGGGUGAAGGGGUUGCAAUAAAAUGGUGGCUGCGACUGUUUAAUAAAAACACAGCACUCUGCAAACACGAAAGUGGACGUAUAGGGUGUGACGCCUGCCCGGUGCCGGAAGAUUAAAUGAUGGGGUGCAAGCUCUUGAUUGAAGUCCCGGUAAACGGCGGCCGUAACUAUAACGGUCCUAAGGUAGCGAAAUUCCUUGUCGGGUAAGUUCCGACCUGCACGAAUGGCGUAACGAUGGCCACACUGUCUCCUCCCGAGACUCAGCGAAGUUGAAGUGUUUGUGAUGAUGCAAUCUCCCCGCGGCUAGACGGAAAGACCCCAUGAACCUUUACUGUAGCUUUGCAUUGGACUUUGAACCGAUCUGUGUAGGAUAGGUGGGAGGCUUAGAAGCGUGGACGCUAGUUCACGUGGAGCCGUCCUUGAAAUACCACCCUGGUUUGUUUGAGGUUCUAACCUUGGCCCGUGAAUCCGGGUCGGGGACAGUGCAUGGUAGGCAGUUUGACUGGGGCGGUCUCCUCCCAAAGUGUAACGGAGGAGUUCGAAGGUACGCUUGGUACGGUCGGACAUCGUACCUAAAGUGCAAUGGCAAAAGCGUGCUUAACUGCGAGACCGACAAGUCGAGCAGGUGCGAAAGCAGGACAUAGUGAUCCGGUGGUUCUGAAUGGAAGGGCCAUCGCUCAACGGAUAAAAGGUACUCUGGGGAUAACAGGCUGAUACCGCCCAAGAGUUCAUAUCGACGGCGGUGUUUGGCACCUCGAUGUCGGCUCAUCUCAUCCUGGGGCUGUAGCCGGUCCCAAGGGUAUGGCUGUUCGCCAUUUAAAGAGGUACGUGAGCUGGGUUUAAAACGUCGUGAGACAGUUUGGUCCCUAUCUGCCGUGGGCGUUGGAAUCUUGACGGGGGCUGCUCCUAGUACGAGAGGACCGGAGUGGACGUACCGCUGGUGUACCUGUUGUCUCGCCAGAGGCAUCGCAGGGUAGCUAUGUACGGAAGAGAUAACCGCUGAAAGCAUCUAAGCGGGAAACUCGCCUGAAGAUGAGGAUUCCCUGGAGGCUUGACCUCCUUGAAGGGUCGUUCGAGACCAGGACGUUGAUAGGCUGGGUGUGGAAGCGCAGUAAUGCGUUAAGCUAACCAGUACUAAUUGCCCGUAAGGCUUGAUCCUAUAACCAGUGUGUUUCA